GACGAACGCUGGCGGCGUGCUUAACACAUGCAAGUCAUGGGGGCCGGCCAAGGGACGAACCGGCGAACGGGUGCGUAACACGUGAGCAACCUACCGAUUUGUGGGGGAGUAGCCGGCCUAACGGCCGGGUAAUACCGCAUACGCUUGUAAGGCCUCCUGGUCUAACAAGGAAAUCUUCGGAGCAGAUCGAGGGGCUCGCGGCCUAUCAGCUAGUUGGCGAGGUCACGGCUCACCAAGGCGACGAC
rnacentral:rRNA from 1 species